rnacentral:rRNA from 1 species
CAGUAGCCGCGGUAAUACGAAGGGUGCAAGCGUUAAUCGGAAUUACUGGGCGUAAAGCGUGCGUAGGCGGUGAGUUAAGUCUGCUGUGAAAUCCCCGGGCUCAACCUGGGAAUGGCAGUGGAUACUGGCUCGCUAGAGUGUGUCAGAGGAUGGUGGAAUUCCCGGUGUAGCGGUGAAAUGCGUAGAUAUAGGAGGGAACACCAGUGGCGAAGGCGACUACCUGGACUGAUACUGACACUGAGGUGCGAAAGCGUCGGGAGCAAACAGGAUUAGAUACCCCAGUAGUCCCUGUCUCUUAUAC